AAGACUAUACUUUCAGGGAUCAUUUCUGUAGUUGGUGACUAGAGGAGCGUGAUCUUCCCUGAUCGGCGUCACAAGCCACGAGGAGGAUGGCGGUGCUGUCUCCUGAGCGCGAAGCGGGCGGGCGGUGCUGCGUGGGCAGGAGCCGCCCGCCAUUGAUGACCGUUCCCGGCCCUUGUGGGCUCGGGAGGGAGACGGCACGGGCUGAGUGGU
rnacentral:snoRNA from 1 species